rnacentral:snRNA from 1 species
GAAGCUGUAUGAUUAUUC